UACAGAGGGUGCAAGCGUUGUUCGGAAUUAUUGGGCGUAAAGCGCGUGUAGGCGGCUUGGCAAGUCGGGUGUGAAAGCCCUCGGCUCAACCGAGGAAGGGCGCCCGAAACUGCUAUGGCUUGAGUGCCGGAGAGGGUGGCGGAAUUCCCCAAGUAGAGGUGAAAUUCGUAGAUAUGGGGAGGAACACCGGUGGCGAAGGCGGCCACCUGGACGGCAACUGACGCUGAGACGCGAAAGCGUGGGUAGCAAACAGG
rnacentral:rRNA from 1 species